rnacentral:rRNA from 1 species
GAGCCGGAGGGAAACCGAGUCUUAACCGGGCGUUAAGUUGCAGGGUAUAGACCCGAAACCCGGUGAUCUAGCCAUGGGCAGGUUGAAGGUUGGGUAACACUAACUGGAGGACCGAACCGACUAAUGUUGAAAAAUUAGCGGAUGACCUGUGGCUGGGGGUGAAAGGCCAAUCAAACCGGGAGAUAGCUGGUUCUCCCCGAAAGCUAUUUAGGUAGCGCCUCGUGAAUUCAUCUCCGGGGGUAGAGCACUGUUUCGGCUAGGGGGCCAUCCCGGCUUACCAACCCGAUGCAAACUGCGAAUACCGGAGAAUGUUAUCACGGGAGACACACGGCGGGUGCUAACGUCCGUCGUGAAGAGGGAAACAACCCAGACCGCCAGCUAAGGUCCCAAAGUCAUGGUUAAGUGGGAAACGAUGUGGGAAGGCCCAGACAGCCAGGAUGUUGGCUUAGAAGCAGCCAUCAUUUAAAGAAAGCGUAAUAGCUCACUGGUCGAGUCGGCCUGCGCGGAAGAUGUAACGGGGCUAAACCAUGCACCGAAGCUGCGGCAGCGACGCUGAUGCGUUGUUGGGUA